rnacentral:rRNA from 1 species
UACGGAGGGUGCGAGCGUUAAUCGGAAUUACUGGGCGUAAAGCGCUCGUAGGCGGUUUCGUAAGUCGGAUGUGAAAACUCCAGGCUCAACUUGGAGACGCCAUUCGAUACUGCGAUGACUUGAGUCCGGUAGGGGAGUGUGGAAUUCCUGGUGUAGCGGUGAAAUGCGCAGAUAUCAGGAGGAACACCGGCGGCGAAGGCGGCACUCUGGGCCGGUACUGACGCUGAGGAGCGAAAGCGUGGGUAGCAAACAGGAUUAGAUACCCGAGUAGU